GUGGGGAAUCUUGCACAAUGGGGGAAACCCUGAUGCAGCGACGCCGCGUGAGCGAUGAAGCCCUUCGGGGUGUAAAGCUCUUUCGGCAGGGAAGAUGAUGACGGUACCUGCAGAAGCAGCUGCGGCUAACUACGUGCCAGCAGCCGCGGUAAUACGUAGGCAGCAAGCGUUGUUCGGAGUUACUGGGCGUAAAGGGUGUGUAGGCGGUUCCUUAAGUUUGGUGUGAAAUCUCCCGGCUCAACUGGGAGGGUGCGCCGGAUACUGAGGGACUGGAGUGCGGGAUGGGAGAGUGGAAUUCCUGGUGUAGCGGUGAAAUGCGUAGAUAUCAGGAGGAACACCGGUGGUGUAGACGGCUCUCUGGACCGCAACUGACGCUGAGACACGAAAGCGUGGGUAGCAAACAGGAUUAGAUACCCUAGUAGUCC
rnacentral:rRNA from 1 species